CCUACGGGAGGCAGCAGUGAGGAAUAUUGGUCAAUGGACGAAAGUCUGAACCAGCCACGUCGCGUGAAGGAUGACUGCCCUAUGGGUUGUAAAUUUCUUUUAUAUGGGAAUAAAAUGUUCCACGUGUGGGAUUUUGUAUGUCCCAUAUGAAUAUGGCUCGGCUAACUCCGUGCCAGCAGCCGCGGUAAUACUGAGGAUCCGCGCGUUAUCCGGAGUUAUUGGGUGUAAAGGGAGCGUAGGUGGAUGGUUAAGUCAGUUGUGAAAGUUUGCGGCUCAACCGUAAAAUUGCAGUUGAAACUGGCAGUCUUGAGUACAGUAGAGGUGGGCGGAAUUCGUGGUGUAGCGGUGAAAUGCUUAGAUAUGACGAAGAACUCCAAUGGCGAAGGCAGUUCACUGGACUGCAACUGACACUGAGGCUCGAAAGUGUGGGUAUCAAACAGGAUUAGAUACCCGAGUAGUC
rnacentral:rRNA from 1 species